GCCCUGGUGGUGCAAUUGGUAGACACAGCGCGCUCAGAACGCGUGCCGUGAGGCAUGAGGGUUCGAAUCCCUCCCAGGGUAC
rnacentral:tRNA from 1 species